rnacentral:misc_RNA from 1 species
AAAAAAAAUUUUAAAAAAAAAACACCGAAACCCCAAGAAACAGAAGCCGAGCUACCAAGGGAAGACAGGAGAGAGAACAAUGGGACUGAAAACAAGGGAUGCUGAGAUGGAUUUAAGGUGUGUUUGAUGCUAAAAGCAGGUGCUUCAGAAGUCGGUGGUUUCUAAUGGAGUCCAACAAUAAUCCAGCAAUUUUCAGUGCCAGAGUCAGUGUUCUAGCAACUUUACAACUCGUUGACACUGGAUUCUGGUAGAUUGGCCAGAUCCAAGUCUUGUAGUAGUGUCUUUUUCUGAUAAAGGUCCUCACAGAAGAUGGAAAUUAGGAA